UACGGAGGAUGCGAGCGUUACCCGGAUUUACUGGGUGUAAAGGGCGUGUAGGCGGUCUCUCAAGUCCGAUGCUAAAGACCGAGGCUCAACCUCGGGAGUGCGUUGGAUACUGUGAGGCUAGACGGUCGGAGAGGGCAGCGGAAUUCUCGGAGUAGCGGUGAAAUGCGCAGAUACCGAGAGGAACGCCAAUAGCGAAGGCAGCUGCCGGGACGAUUUGGGACUUUGAGGCGCGAAAGCGUGGGGAGCAAACCGG
rnacentral:rRNA from 1 species